UGGGGAAUAUUGCACAAUGGGCGCAAGCCUGAUGCAGCCAUGCCGCGUGUAUGAAGAAGGCCUUCGGGUUGUAAAGUACUUUCAGUCGGGAGGAAGGUGGUAAGGUUAAUAACCUUAUCAAUUGACGUUACCCGCAGAAGAAGCACCGGCUAACUCCGUGCCAGCAGCCGCGGUAAUACGGAGGGUGCAAGCGUUAAUCGGAAUUACUGGGCGUAAAGCGCACGCAGGCGGUUUGUUAAGUCAGAUGUGAAAUCCCCGGGCUCAACCUGGGAACUGCAUCUGAUACUGGCAAGCUUGAGUCUCGUAGAGGGGGGUAGAAUUCCAGGUGUAGCGGUGAAAUGCGUAGAGAUCUGGAGGAAUACCGGUGGCGAAGGCGGCCCCCUGGACAAAGACUGACGCUCAGGUGCGAAAGCGUGGGGAGCAAACAGG
rnacentral:rRNA from 1 species